rnacentral:rRNA from 1 species
AUUGAACGCUGGCGGCAGGCUUAACACAUGCAAGUCGAGCGGAGAUGAGGUGCUUGCACCUUAUCUUAGCGGCGGACGGGUGAGUAAUGCUUAGGAAUCCGCCUAUUACUGGGGGACAACAUUCCGAAAGGAAUGCUAAUACCGCAUACGUCCUACGGGAGAAAGCAGGGGAUCUUCGGACCUUGCGCUAAUAGAUGAGCCUAAGUCGGAUUAGCUAGUUGGUGGGGUAAAGGCCUACCAAGGCGACGAUCUGUAGCGGGUCUGAGAGGAUGAUCCGCCACACUGGGACUGCGACACGGCCCAGACUCCUACGGGAGGCAGCAGUGGGGAAUAUUGGACAAUGGGGGGAACCCUGAUCCAGCCAUGCCGCGUGUGUGAAGAAGGCCUUAUGGUUGUAAAGCACUUUAAGCGAGGAGGAGGCUACUGAGACUAAUACUCUUGGAUAGUGGACGUUACUCGCAGAAUAAGCACCGGCUAACUCAGUGCCAGCCGCCGCAGUAACAC